rnacentral:sRNA from 1 species
UAAAACAAAUGCCAUUCUUCUUAAUAA